rnacentral:rRNA from 1 species
AUUGAACGCUGGCGGCAGGCCUAACACAUGCAAGUCGAGCGGUAACAGGAAGAAGCUUGCUUCUUUGCUGACGAGUGGCGGACGGGUGAGUAAUGUCUGGGAAACUGCCUGAUGGAGGGGGAUAACUACUGGAAACGGUAGCUAAUACCGCAUAACGUCGCAAGACCAAAAAGGGGGACCUUCGGGCCUCUUGCCAUCGGAUGUGCCCAGAUGGGAUUAGCUAGUAGGUGGGGUAACGGCUCACCUAGGCGACGAUCCCUAGCUGGUCUGAGAGGAUGACCAGCCACACUGGAACUGAGACACGGUCCAGACUCCUACGGGAGGCAGCAGUGGGGAAUAUUGCACAAUGGGCGCAAGCCUGAUGCAGCCAUGCCGCGUGUAUGAAGAAGGCCUUCGGGUUGUAAAGUACUUUCAGCGGGGAGGAAGGGAGUAAAGUUAAUACCUUUGCUCAUUGACGUUACCCGCAGAAGAAGCACCGGCUAACUCCGUG